UCCGUAGGUGAACCUGCGGAGGGAUCAUUACCGAGUUUACAACUCCCAAACCCAAUGUGAACCAUACCAAACUGUUGCCUCGGCGGGGUCACGCCCCGGGUGGGUCGCCGCCCCUUGAACCAGGCGCCCGCCGGAGGGACCAACCAAACUCUUUACUGUAGUCCCCUCGCGGACGUUAUUUCUUACAGCUCUGAGCAAAAAAUUCAAAAUGAAUCAAAACUUUCAACAACGGAUCUCUUGGUUCUGGCAUCGAUGAAGAACGCAGCGAAAUGCGAUAAGUAAUGUGAAUUGCAGAAUUCAGUGAAUCAUCGAAUCUUUGAACGCACAUUGCGCCCGCCAGUAUUCUGGCGGGCAUGCCUGUCCGAGCGUCAUUUCAACCCUCGAACCCCUCCGGGGGGUCGGCGUUGGGGAUCGGGAACCCCUCAGACGGGAUCCCGGCCCCGAAAUACAGUGGCGGUCUCGCCGCAGCCUCUCCUGCGCAGUAGUUUGCACAACUCGCGCCGGGAGCGCGGCGCGUCCACGUCCGUAAAACACCCAACUUUCUGAAAUGUUGACCUCGGAUCAGGUAGGAAUACCCGCUGAACUUAAGCAUAUCAAUAAGCGGAGGAA
rnacentral:rRNA from 1 species